rnacentral:rRNA from 1 species
ACGAACGCUGGCGGCGUGCUUAACACCUGCAGGUCGAACGGAAAGGCCUCUUUCGGGGGGUACUCGAGUGGCGAACGGGUGAGUAACACGUGAGUAACCUGCCCUUGACUUUGGGAUAACUUCAGGAAACUGGGGCUAAUACCGGAUAGGAGCUCCUGCUGCAUGGUGGGGGUUGGAAAGUUUCGGCGGUUGGGGAUGGACUCGCGGCUUAUCAGCUUGUUGGUGGGGUAGUGGCUUACCAAGGCUUUGACGGGUAGCCGGCCUGAGAGGGUGACCGGCCACAUUGGGACUGAGAUACGGCCCAGACUCCUACGGGAGGCAGCAGUGGGGAAUAUUGCACAAUGGGUGGAAGCCUGAUGCAGCAACGCCGUGUGCGGGAUGACGGCCUUCGGGUUGUAAACCGCUUUCGCUCAUGACGAAGCUUUGUGUGACGGUAGUGGGUAAAGAAGCACCGGCUAACUACGUG